UGGGGAAUAUUGCGCAAUGGGCGAAAGCCUGACGCAGCAACACCGCGUGAGGGAUGACGGCCUUCGGGUUGUAAACCUCUUUCAGCUCCGACGAAGCGAAAGUGACGGUAGGAGCAGAAGAAGCACCGGCUAACUACGUGCCAGCAGCCGCGGUAAUACGUAGGGUGCAAGCGUUGUCCGGAAUUAUUGGGCGUAAAGAGCUCGUAGGCGGUCCGUUGCGUCUGCCGUGAAAACCCGGAGCUCAACUCCGGGCCUGCGGUGGAUACGGGCGGACUAGAGUCCGGUAGGGGAGACUGGAAUUCCUGGUGUAGCGGUGGAAUGCGCAGAUAUCAGGAGGAACACCGGUGGCGAAGGCGGGUCUCUGGGCCGGAACUGACGCUGAGGAGCGAAAGCGUGGGGAGCGAACAGGAUUAGAUACCCUGGUAGUCCACGCCGUAAACGGUGGGCGCUAGGUGUGGGAUCGUUUCCACGAUCUCCGUGCCGUAGCUAACGCAUUAAGCGCCCCGCCU
rnacentral:rRNA from 1 species